GAUGAACGCUGGCGGCGUGCCUAAUACAUGCAAGUCGAGCGAACGGACGAGAAGCUUGCUUUUCUGAUGUUAGCGGCGGACGGGUGAGUAACACGUGGAUAACCUACCUAUAAGACUGGGAUAACUUCGGGAAACCGGAGCUAAUACCGGAUAAUAUUUUGAACCGCAUGGUUCAAAAGUGAAAGACGGUCUUGCUGUUACUUAUAGAUGGAUCCGCGCUGCAUUAGCUAGUUGGUAAGGUAACGGCUUACCAAGGCAACGAUGCAUAGCCGACCUGAGAGGGUGAUCGGCCACACUGGAACUGAGACACGGUCCAGACUCCUACGGGAGGCAGCAGUAGGGAAUCUUCCGCAAUGGGCGAAAGCCUGACGGAGCAACGCCGCGUGAGUGAUGAAGGUCUUCGGAUCGUAAAACUCUGUUAUUAGGGAAGAACAUAUGCGUAAGUAACUGUGCACAUCUUGACGGUACCUAAUCAGAAAGCCACGGCUAACUACGUG
rnacentral:rRNA from 1 species